CCAAAAACGGAUAUUUUUAUCCUUCUUAGAAAAAGAUUUUCUUCUACUUUAUUUGAUAGUAAUUAUUACUAAAGUUUAGGUUAAUUAUGGAAUCUAAAGAUACACCAGUUAAUGGCAUUAUAUAAUUACAUAAAUGUAAAUAUAGCCUAUACUUAAUGCUAUGGUUAAUAUUGUGCCAGCAACCGCGGUCAUACUCUAACAGUAAGUAAUAUAAACAUAAUAUUUCUAACAGAAUAUGAUAUACACUAAAAGCUCUAUGGUAAAAUAUCAUUCUUUGGUUAAAUCAAACUAUCAUACCUAAAACAAAAUUAGGAAGAAAAACUAGGAUUAGAUACCCUAUUAUUCCUAAUACCUUUUAGAUUAUUGAGGAGUAUUUUAUCAAAAACUCAAAAAUAAUGGCGGCUUAUAAAACUCAUCAGGGGAGCUUACCUAAUAAAUGAUAACCACCAAGAAAAUGUACUUAGCUUAAUAAGUUUGUAUGCCGUCGUCUUAAACAUUCCCUUAGAGUGUUUUACUAAUUAAUUAUACUUUAUAGACAGAUCUAGGUGCAGCCUAUAGUUAAGUUGGGGCGAGCUACAAUAAUAAAUUAUUUACGAAUUAUCUGUUAUAUAAUAUUUAUAAAGUUGGACUUAAAAGUAAUAUUAAUUAAAUUAAAAUUAGAAUAUGAAUUUACUUUUUAUAAGUGU
rnacentral:rRNA from 1 species